GUGCUCGCUUCGGCAGCGCAUAUACUAAAAUUGGAACGAUACACAGAAGAUUAGCAUGGCCCCUGCACAAGGAUGACACGAUUAUUUCUAAAAAAAAAAAAAAGAAAA